GUCAGCAUGGCGUAGUGGUUUGAACUUUGGACUAGGACUCUGAAGGAAAGGGUUUGAAUCCCCACGCCGCCA